rnacentral:rRNA from 1 species
GACGAACGCUGGCGGCGUGCUUAACACAUGCAAGUCGAACGGAAAGGCCCUGCUUUUGUGGGGUGCUCGAGUGGCGAACGGGUGAGUAACACGUGAGUAACCUGCCCUUGACUUUGGGAUAACUUCAGGAAACUGGGGCUAAUACCGGAUAGGAGCUCCUGCUGCAUGGUGGGGGUUGGAAAGUUUCGGCGGUUGGGGAUGGACUCGCGGCUUAUCAGCUUGUUGGUGGGGUAGUGGCUUACCAAGGCUUUGACGGGUAGCCGGCCUGAGAGGGUGACCGGCCACAUUGGGACUGAGAUACGGCCCAGAGUCCUACGGGAGGCAGCAGUGGGGAAUAUUGCACGAUGGGCGGAAGCCUGAUGCAGCAACGCCGCGUGCGGGAUGACGGCCUUCGGGUUGUAAACCGCUGUCGCCUGUGACGAAGCGUGAGUGACGGUAAUGGGUAAAGAAGCACCGGCUAACUACGUG